GAUGAACGCUGGCGGCGUGCUUAACACAUGCAAGUCGAACGAAGCACUUUAUUUGAUUUCCUUCGGGACUGAUUAUUUUGUGACUGAGUGGCGGACGGGUGAGUAACGCGUGGGUAACCUGCCUUGUACAGGGGGAUAACAGUUGGAAACGGCUGCUAAUACCGCAUAAGCGCACAGCAUCGCAUGAUGCAGUGUGAAAAACUCCGGUGGUAUAAGAUGGACCCGCGUUGGAUUAGCUAGUUGGUGAGGUAACGGCCCACCAAGGCAACGAUCCAUAGCCGACCUGAGAGGGUGACCGGCCACAUUGGGACUGAGACACGGCCCAAACUCCUACGGGAGGCAGCAGUGGGGAAUAUUGCACAAUGGGCGAAAGCCUGAUGCAGCGACGCCGCGUGAGCGAAGAAGUAUUUCGGUAUGUAAAGCUCUAUCAGCAGGGAAGAUAAUGACGG
rnacentral:rRNA from 1 species